rnacentral:rRNA from 1 species
ACGGAAGGCAGCAGUGGGGAAUAUUGCACAAUGGGGGAAACCCUGAUGCAGCAACGCCGCGUGAGUGAUGACGGUCUUCGGAUUGUAAAGCUCUGUCUUUAGGGACGAUAAUGACGGUACCUAAGGAGGAAGCCACGGCUAACUACGUGCCAGCAGCCGCGGUAAUACGUAGGUGGCAAGCGUUGUCCGGAUUUACUGGGCGUAAAGGGGGCGUAGGUGGAUAUUUAAGUGGGAUGUGAAAUACUUGGGCUUAACCUGGGUGCUGCAUUCCAAACUGGAUAUCUAGAGUGCAGGAGAGGAAAGGAGAAUUCCUAGUGUAGCGGUGAAAUGCGUAGAGAUUAGGAAGAAUACCAGUGGCGAAGGCGCCUUUCUGGACUGUAACUGACACUGAGGCUCGAAAGCGUGGGGAGCAAACAGGAUUAGAUACCCUGGUA